rnacentral:rRNA from 1 species
ACAUGCUGUGAGCUCGAUGAGUAGGGCGGGACACGUGGUAUCCUGUCUGAAUAUGGGGGGACCAUCCUCCAAGGCUAAAUACUCCUGACUGACCGAUAGUGAACCAGUACCGUGAGGGAAAGGCGAAAAGAACCCCGGCGAGGGGAGUGAAAAAGAACCUGAAACCGUGUACGUACAAGCAGUGGGAGCACAGAGCAAUCUGUGUGACUGCGUACCUUUUGUAUAAUGGGUCAGCGACUUAUAUUCUGUAGCAAGGUUAACCGAAUAGGGGAGCCGAAGGGAAACCGAGUCUUAACUGGGCGUUAAGUUGCAGGGUAUAGACCCGAAACCCGGUGAUCUAGCCAUGGGCAGGUUGAAGGUUGGGUAACACUAACUGGAGGACCGAACCGACUAAUGUUGAAAAAUUAGCGGAUGACUUGUGGCUGGGGGUGAAAGGCCAAUCAAACCGGGAGAUAGCUGGUUCUCCCCGAAAGCUAUUUAGGUAGCGCCUCGUGAAUUCAUCUCCGGGGGUAGAGCACUGUUUCGGCAAGGGGGUCAUCCCGACUUACCAACCCGAUGCAAACUGCGAAUACCGGAGAAUGUUAUCACGGGAGACACACGGCGGGUGCUAACGUCCGUCGUGAAGAGGGAAACAACCCAGACCGCCAGCUAAGGUCCCAAAGUCAUGGUUAAGUGGGAAACGAUGUGGGAAGGCCCAGACAGCCAGGAUGUUGGCUUAGAAGCAGCCAUCAUUUAAAGAAAGCGUAAUAGCUCACUGGUCGAGUCGGCCUGCGCGGAAGAUGUAACGGGGCUAAACCAUGCACCGAAGCUGCGGCAGCGACGCUGAUGCGUUGUUGGGUAGGGGAGCGUUCUGUAAGCCUGCGAAGGUGUGCUGUGAGGCAUGCUGGAGGUAUCAGAAGUGCGAAUGCUGACAUAAGUAACGAUAAAGCGGGUGAAAAGCCCGCUCGCCGGAAGACCAAGGGUUCCUGUCCAACGUUAAUCGGGGCAGGGUGAGUCGACCCCUAAGGCGAGGCCGAAAGGCGUAGUCGAUGGGAAACAGGUUAAUAUUCCUGUACUUGGUGUUACUGCGAAGGGGGGACGGAGAAGGCUAUGUUGGCCGGGCGACGGUUGUCCCGGUUUAAGCGUGUAGGCUGGUUUUCCAGGCAAAUCCGGAAAAUCAAGGCUGAGGCGUGAUGACGAGGCACUACGGUGCUGAAGCAACAAAUGCCCUGCUUCCAGGAAAAGCCUCUAAGCAUCAGGUAACAUCAAAUCGUACCCCAAACCGACACAGGUGGUCAGGUAGAGAAUACCAAGGCGCUUGAGAGAACUCGGGUGAAGGAACUAGGCAAAAUGGUGCCGUAACUUCGGGAGAAGG